UACGUAGGGGGCGAGCGUUGUCCGGAUUUAUUGGGCGUAAAGAGCGUGUAGGCGGUUCGGUAAGUCUGUCGUGAAAUCCUGAGGCUCAACCUCGGGCGUGCGAUGGAUACUGCCGGGCUAGAGGGUGGUAGAGGCGAGUGGAAUUCCCGGGUGUAGCGGUGAAAUGCGCAGAUAUCGGGAGGAACACCAGUAGCGAAGGCGGCUCGCUGGGCCACACCUGACGCUGAGACGCGAAAGCUAGGGAGCGAACAGG
rnacentral:rRNA from 1 species